CUAGCGAGCCCAACCUCCCACCCGUGUUUACUGUACCUUAGUUGCUUCGGCGGGCCCGCCAUUCAUGGCCGCCGGGGGCUCUCAGCCCCGGGCCCGCGCCCGCCGGAGACACCACGAACUCUGUCUGAUCUAGUGAAGUCUGAGUUGAUUGUAUCGCAAUCAGUUAAAACUUUCAACAAUGGAUCUCUUGGUUCCGGCAUCGAUGAAGAACGCAGCGAAAUGCGAUAACUAGUGUGAAUUGCAGAAUUCCGUGAAUCAUCGAGUCUUUGAACGCACAUUGCGCCCCCUGGUAUUCCGGGGGGCAUGCCUGUCCGAGCGUCAUUGCUGCCCAUCAAGCACGGCUUGUGUGUUGGGUCGUCGUCCCCUCUCCGGGGGGGACGGGCCCCAAAGGCAGCGGCGGCACCGCGUCCGAUCCUCGAGCGUAUGGGGCUUUGUCACCCGCUCUGUAGGCCCGGCCGGCGCUUGCCGAACGCAAAUCAAUCUUUUCCAGGUUGACCUCGGAUCAGGUAGGGAUACCCGCUGAACUUAAGCAUAUCAAUAAGCGGAGGAAAAGAAACCAACCGGGAUUGCCUCAGUAACGGCGAGUGAAGCGGCAAGAGCUCAAAUUUGAAAGCUGGCUCCUUCGGGGUCCGCAUUGUAAUUUGCAGAGGAUGCUUCGGGUGCGGCCCCUGUCUAAGUGCCCUGGAACGGGCCGUCAGAGAGGGUGAGAAUCCCGUCUGGGAUGGGGUGUCCGCGCCCGUGUGAAGCUCCUUCGACGAGUCGAGUUGUUUGGGAAUGCAGCUCUAAAUGGGUGGUAAAUUUCAUCUAAAGCUAAAUACUGGCCGGAGACCGAUAGCGCACAAGUAGAGUGAUCGAAAGAUGAAAAGCACUUUGAAAAGAGAGUUAAAAAGCACGUGAAAUUGUUGAAAGGGAAGCGCUUGCGACCAGACUCGCCUCCAGGGUUCAGCCGGCAUUCGUGCCGGUGUACUUCCCUGGGGGCGGGCCAGCGUCGGUUUGGGCGGCCGGUCAAAGGCUCCCGGAAUGUAGUGCCCUCCGGGGCACCUUAUAGCCGGGAGUGCAAUGCGGCCAGCCUGGACCGAGGAACGCGCU
rnacentral:rRNA from 1 species